GGCUGAAUGGUCUAGUCGCAUGAUUCUCGCUUUGGGUACAUAUGUACGAAUGCGAGAGGUCCCGGGUUCAAUUCCCGGUUCAGCCC